UGUAAAUGUAAAUUUUCUUUUAAAAAAAGGAUGCAAUAUGUCUCACUAGAGCAACUUGAUUACCAUUAACAUCCACAAAAAUGUAUUAUUCAAAGUAAUGUGUCGUUUGUUUUUUUUAAAUUUCAUUUUGUUUAGCCUAUCACAUUUAAACUGAAUGAGAUGAGCUGUAAAGCCCUGUUAGCUCUACAAAGUAGUAACUGCAAUUUUUUUUUUUUUGAUACAGGUUGCAGUACAGAUCCAGUGACCUUACUGUUACCAAAAUGUGCUAUGUCUGAAAACUAAACACCUUUUAUAUGUGAUGUAACAAUUUCAAAAUUUCAAACAAAAAGUCUUUUUAACUAUGAUUUUCUUUACACGAUCACCUCCUGGAAAUUCAUCCACAUGUCCAAACACUGCCUUCCAAACUAUGAACUCAAAGCUUUAAGCAAUGGUCAAAAUUCUUAUAUUUAAUUAUUUUAUUUUUUUUGAGAAACUUUUUUUUUUUUGCGUUGUUUUUAUCCAUGGUAAUGCAAUCUGUAACAGUCUUAUGGUCUCCUUCAGUUUAAAAGAAAUUUCCAGCGCCAGAUGUCCUCCUAGGUAACUCUAUGAAGCGUUUUAAUUUCCUGACAAGAGAGAAUGUUGUUUAUUACCCUAAAUAAUCUAAAUCAGUAUAAGAAAGCUUUCUGAAGCACACACUGUUGCGCAACAUCGGAGCUGAUAAAACAUCGGAGCUGUUUUGGUGACACAGUGACAGCACUUCAACAAACUUAAAGCCCUUUUGUUAAGUGUUUGAAAAUGUGGUGUUUGUGGUGUUUGUUUUUUUUCAUGGCGUGGGUUAAAACAGAAUGGUCACAGGUUUAAUGAAGUCAUUAAUCUAUGGCUAAGAGGCCAAAAUAUAGAAAUGGCCAUUCUCAAUACUUUUUAGAACCAAAAAAAAUCUAAAUAAAAACCAGUUAAUGAUAUUUAAAACCCCUGGCAGAGGUCUAAGUAUGGAGUUUAAUUUGUAACCUUGGUCAGAUUAUCAGUCAGGUAAAACCAUCAUGGACUUAAACCUGACUAUCUAAACAGCUCUAAAAGGGUCUUGUAUUACUUCACUAAUGUAAAGGUAAAGGCGUACUAGCUACAGUAUAUCCUAUUCUCCGUGCAGACGGUGCUACAGACACACUCGAUCAGACACAAAUCUGUCAGAUCCAACCUGACAAAACGACAAUUCAUCACCACAGUAAUCCAUUAUGUAGCUGUGAUGCACUGUAGCCAUUUGUGCAGCCAUGUAUGACAUGAACUUUUUUCUACUUGCACAGCAACAAGAAACAAGUCAAAUGUAAACUAAAUAUUUUUCUAUAAUAUCUCAAGACCUAAGAAAGCAUCGGACCCUGACCCUGAUUUUUUGGUGUCUUUUUUUUUUGUGUGUGUGUCUAUUGCUGUAGGGUUUCUCAAUGGUGUAUCUUAUUAGUUGUUGUCAAAGCUAUUGUGUGCUGCAGUAUUUUCAAGUAUGUUUCUUUGUUAACGUCUUCUUUUGUUUAUUUAGCUUUCUUUAUUGGGGAUUUGAAGAAGUGUGAAGUCUCAUUAUUUCAAUCUGUUAACGUAGCGCUAUGUGUACCCUGUACCUUAGACUAAUAUUAUUAAGUAUGUUAUGAGAAUGGAUAUUUUACUGGCUUUAUAGAAUGUUAAAAAUGAAUAUAAUAAUGAUAAGAAGAAGAACGAUUUAACUCCAAAAAGUCGAGUACUUGCUAACUAAGCGCUUGUGUUACCAUUAAAGAUGUUGUGUGCUUCUCUUAAUUUUCGUUGUAGAAAAAUUGAGCGAGUUUUUAUUAGGCUUCGACAACUAACGAUAGCAGUGUAAAUUUAUGGAGGAUUUUAACAAACAUCUGGGUUAUAGAAGAAUAUAGUUAUUUUAAUUGUUCUAUUUACUAACUGUAGGGUGAGAAGGGGCUCGCAUUGUGGUGAAC
ensembl:lncRNA